AGUCCCUGGCUGCCAGGGGAGAGGAGCUGCCCUUGCCAGAGGUCAGAGCCUCACCCAGCAGCGGUGGGGAGUCGGCAGUCGCCACCUCUGAGCCCCUUGUUCCACCGUGGCUCCGCUCCCCAAUUGCCAAGCGCAGGAAACGAGGCUGUGACUGGCUCUGCAAAGCACUGACAACAAUGCCGGGCUUCUUCCCCCCUCAGCAGCACGGGAUCCUGACCCAGCACGAGCAGGCGGUGCCACCACUGGAGGGCAGGAAUUUUUGGCAGCAGACAGAGGGGCUGAACCUCUUGCAGGGGUUGUCUGUCCUGGAUGGGGCAGAGGCACGGGAACACCGAGGUCUGCAGGGAUUCCAGCUGGGGAAGGAGCCCCUGCAAGCUCAGGGCCGAGCUCUGUCCUGGUGCACCGGGCAGCGGCGAGGGCAGGAGGCUCCUGGGAUGGAUCCAGGCACUGCCACGUCAGAAGCCAGGCCGAGGUGACUGUGCAGAAAUAAGAGCCACGUCCAGCACAUGGAGCCACCUGGCAAAGGCUCUGCAGGCCCUCUGUGUCCUCCCUGUCACCUGAAGCACUGACCGAGUCCUUUGCUCCCAGCGGAGUGGCUGGAACAGAAAUCGGAGUGGGGAUCCCCAUUCCAGGGACAGGGAGCUGCCUUUCUUGUUCCUCUCGUGCUCUGUCUGUCCACCUGCCUGGGAGAGGCAGGGAGGUGAGAUCCGAGGUGGUGAGAGCUGGAUCCUGCUGGCAGGGGCAGCUGGGGCUGCUCCAAACACCAUCCUCUCCUGCCACGCCCAAACGGCCUUAUCAGGAGCUGCUCCCUGUGGCUGUGAGGAUCAGCUGGAAGCAGGAUGUGGCCUGGAAGCCUGGACCCUAAAGAUGAACUUCUUUGAAGUGUUGGAGGCCAUGGACAAGCUCUCUAGGACAAAAGGCUGCUGUAACAUCUAUGCAAACAUCUAGUGCUCAUAAACCUCUUGGGAGUGACUGGGGGCCGCCGGCCCGUGGGUCCCCAGCUGGGAUCCGUGGCAGUGCCUGCACCACGGAGCUCUCCAUGGACACUGGAGCUUCCCCCUGUCUGCUCAGUGACAGAGAGGAAGUGUUUGUACAGUGCCCUUACACUGAUCCAGCAAAGUGCUAAAAAUAAACCUUCUCUGUGAAGCCGCAAA